rnacentral:lncRNA from 12 species
AGUUCCCCAUAUGGACUCUACUGGGCACCUGUGGAAAUGCAAUCACUUUCUUUGCCAGAGACUAUUGGACGAGUGCUGGGCUAUAGGCAUUCUCUCGUGCACCUGUUAUUAGCAGGGGCUCGCAUAUGUACAACCGUCAUCCACAGCCUUAUAAUUUAAGGUGUGCUCCCUGGAGGAACCUCAAGGUCUGCGAACUUGCUGGAAAGGCCAAAUCUCUGCUGCGCCAAGAUCUUCCUGAGAUUCAUACACAGGCCCCUUUCCUUACAUAGGAACUUGUGAGAUCCAGUUCAUUAGUUUGGAUCCCUGGUUGUCACCAUGCCAUGUGCCCCAUGUUUCAGGAGAACUCACAUUAGAAGGUGUGAUGUUCUUGUCCAGUGAUUCUCCAGUCAAAAAGUUAAGAUGUCUUAGGUGAUGAAUAAGAUGUCUUGGGCAAU